UGCCAGCCGCCGCGGUAAUACGAAGGUCCCGAGCGUUGUUCGGAAUCACUGGGCGUAAAGGGAGCGUAGGCGGCGUGGUAAGUCAGAUGCGAAAUCCCGGGGCUCAACCCUGGAACUGCAUCCGAUACUGCCGUGCUAGAGGAUUGGAGAGGUAGCUGGAAUUCUUGGUGUAGCAGUGAAAUGCGUAGAUAUCAAGAGGAACACUCGUGGCGAAAGCGAGCUACUGGACAACUCCUGACGCUGAGGCUCGAAGGCUAGGGCAGCGAAAGGGAUUAGAUA
rnacentral:rRNA from 1 species